rnacentral:rRNA from 1 species
UACAGAGGGUGCGAGCGUUGUCCGGAAUCACUGGGCGUAAAGGGCGCGUAGGCGGUUUGGCAAGUCUAUGGUGAAAGCUCGCCGCUCAACGGCGAGUCGGCCACGGAUACUGCUGAACUGGAGCACUGUAGAGGCAGGUGGAAUUCCGGGUGUAGCGGGGGAAUGCGUAGAGAUCCGGAAGAACACCGGUGGCGAAGGCGGUGGUCUGGGCCGAUACUGACGCUGUAGAGCGAAAGCGUGGGGAGCGAACAGG